ACGAGCCCAGCACCGAACCUCCCGGUUCCCACCGGCGAGAACUGUGGUGUACGGGACGGCAGUAGUCGUGUGCGCCGGACGCCAGUGUCCUCUUGACCGAGGCUUUACCCAUAGCGGGUGUUAGGCCUUUGACGGCGUCUUGCUGCACGGCCGCGAUCGUCUCAGGAGUCGGGUUGUUUGUGAAUGCAGCCCAAAGUGGAUGGUAAACUCCAUCCAAGGCUAAAUACUGGCGCGAGCCUGAUAGAACACAAGUACCGUGAGGGAAAGUUGAAAAGGACUUUGAAGAGAGAGUUCAAGAGUACGUGAAGCCGCCCAGAGGUAAACGGGUGGACCUGCUAAUUCUACCGGCGGGAAUCAGCUCGGUGCGGCCGGGAGCGUUUGCGUUGAGAUCUUCGGACUCUCCAGACUGCCUCCUGGUGCGGUACCGUGUGCAUUUUCCGCCGGCAGAGCGCUUCGACCGGUCCCGGCGAGAAGCCAAAUGCCCCAGGAGAAGGUAGGCUUUAGCUUCGGCUAGAGCUGUUACAGAUCCCGGYGGUGGCCUAUCUCGGGACCGAGGAACGACCGCGUGCCUUCGUGGCUACCCGGCUCUUGUGGGGAGUUCGACCGGCGGGGACUGGGCAACCGUGCCUGCCUACCGCUCCCCGCUACCGGCUGGGCUAGUCUGGGUGCGCUUAGGGUCAGAAGCGAUAGUGAGAAAUCCCCCCGACCCGUCUUGAAACACGGACCAAGGAGUCUAGCAUGCACGCAAGUCGUCGGGAACGGAAACCCGAGGGCGCAGAGAAAUCGAGGAUUGUCUCGGCAAUCCGGUGAGAUCCUUCUCUCCGGAGAUGGCGCACCACCGGCCCAUCCCAUCUGCACUGUCAGCGGGGUGGAGCUAUAGCGCGCACGCUAGGACCCGAAAGGUGUGAACUAUGCCUGAGCAGGACGAAGCCAGAG
rnacentral:rRNA from 1 species